rnacentral:rRNA from 1 species
UACAGAGGUGGCAAGCGUUGUUCGGAAUUACUGGGCGUAAAGGGCGCGUAGGCGGUCUUGUAAGUUCCGUGUGAAAUCCCUCGGCUCAACUGAGGAACCGCACGGAAAACUGCUUGGCUUGAGUUCGGGAGAGGGAAGCGGAAUUCCGGUGUAGCGGUGAAUGCGUAGAUAUCCGGAGGAACACCGGUGGCGAAGGCGGCUCCUGGACCGACACU